AUUGAACGCUGGCGGCAUGCCUAACACAUGCAAGUCGAGCGGAUGAAGGGAGCUUGCUCCUGUAUUCAGCUGCGGACGGGUGAGUAAUGCCUAGGAAUCUGCCUUGUAGUUGGGGAUAACGUCCGUAAACGGGCGCUAAUACCGCAUACGUCCUUAGGUAGAACGGGGUGGAUCUUCGGACCUCGCGCUAUCAGAUGAGCCUAGGUCGGAUUAGCUAGUUGGUGGGGUAAAGGCCUAACAAGGCGACGAUCCGUAACUGGGCUGAGAGGAUGAUCAGUCAAAAUGGAAAUGAGAAACGGUCCAGAAUCCCAAGGGAGGCAGGAGUGGGGAAUAUUGGACAAUGGGCGGAAGGCUGAUCGAGGCAUGGCGGGUGGGUGAAGAAGGUCUUCGGAUUGGUAAGACCCUGAAGUUGGGAGGAAGGGAAGUAAGUUAAUACCUUGCUGUUUUGACGUGAACAAAAGAAUAAGCACAGGCUAAACUCGUG
rnacentral:rRNA from 1 species